GUCGAAGUGGAAAACUGUCCUGUGUUCUGACAAAUAAAAAUGUGUCUCUGAGCAUUUGACACCUUGUACUUCUGGACACUCCAGGCAGGUUGCAGUUCUGGAAUAUGAUUGCAUUGGAGGAUAAUUGGUUCCUGGAAGCUUCACGUUUAAUCAAGUCGUUUGCAGUUAAUUUGCGUCUUUUCUUCUCAAAGCUUUUUUUGCACCCCAGUAGACUAUUUGCAACAAAACCUUUAAUUGUCUAGUGGUCACGCCUCAAUCGUUUAGCUAUUUCAAGAGUGCUGCUUCCGUCUGAAAAGCAUUUUGCAAUUUUUGACUUUUCAGUGUCAGUUAAAUCAGUUUUUUGGCCCAUUUUACCUGAGGUCAUGAAGCUGCUUAAUAAUUAUGCACACCUUGAUAUUAGGUAAAAUAAACAAACCUAUGCCGUUACAUGCAAACGACAUCUUUUUCAGGGAAGGCCUUGCUUAUUUCAGCAAGACAAUGCCAAACCACAUUUUGCACAUAUUUCAACAGCAUGGCUCCGUAGUAAAAGAGUCUGGGAGCUAAACUGGCUUGCCUGCAGUCGAUACCUGUCGUCCAUUGUAAACAUUUGGCAUAUUACAAAACAGAAAAUACCCCAAAGGAGACCCCGAACUGCUGAGCAGCUGAAAUCCUAUAUCAAGUACCUACACAGUCCUCUUCAGACACCAAACUCAGGAUGCCGUACAUCACAGAUAUUGAUGUUUCCAUUAAUCCUGAACAGGAGCAAGGCCUAAGAAACCAAAGUUUCAAAAUAAUCAAUGUUAAUCUGAACAAAGGUGCUGGAGGAAAUAAUAUUUACCUCUGGUACAAGAAGGGAAGCAGCAAUCCCAUCACCAGAUUGCAGGUUACAUUCACAGAUGAAAUGCAAAUUGGUUUGAGGAACGCAGGUUACCAUAAGGUGGAUAAAGACCUCAAUGCAGGGGCUGGAGGAGAUAACAUCUUUCUCUGGUGCUACAAAGGUACAACUGAGUAUGACAACCCUAUAGUGGAACUUAAGGUCACCACAGAUGCAACAGAUGAAGCCCAAAUUUACCAGAAAGGCUGGGAACGACUGGCGUGUGACCUGAAUCGCAAUGCUAACGACAACUGGAUCCAUGUUUGGGUGAAGAAAGAGAAGAAAAUGUACAUCUCUGACAUCAAGGCAACUACCUCUUUUGCAUUUGAUAACGAGUAUUUUUCCCAGGGCUACACCCGUGUGGAUGAAAAUGUGAAUCGAGAUGCAGGAGAACGCUCUAUCUUUCUUUGGUAUCGUCAUUCUCUAACACAGUCCCAAAGCAUCAAUCUCCUGGAUGUCUCCACUAACAAUGAGGAAGAGGAAAGCCUUCAGAUACAGGGUUAUACCUGUGUUGGUGUUAAUCUCAAUGAAGGAACAGGAGGCCCCCCGAUAAAUGCCUGGUACAAGAAGGGUUCAGACCAUGCCAUCCAGACCAUCACUGUAAUCAUUCAACAAGAAGUGAGUCCUUAUGAAAAGGCUGGCAUCCAUGUCAUUGGAAAAAAUCUGAAUACAGACAACAAUGGCACCCCCUUGUACCUGGCAUACCAAUGAGAUCAGGGGUUUCAUUUUCUGUAUGCCAGGUGAUCAGUAUACCUGUCAAAUUAGCGUAGCAAUACAUAGCUUAGUACAAGAUAGCACAACAACACAAAUACCAUGUAACAUGUUAAAGCAAACCUGUGGAUCAAGUCAGUUUAACACAGUCUUCAUGCAUUUCUUGCAUUUAAUCUUCUAAACAGAUUGUAUUUGAGAUAUCUAUAUUGUUGUUGUUGUUACUGCUUAUGCCUUUUGUGAUAUGGGUCAACAUGAAUUACUUUGCUAACAAAUAAAAAAAAGUUCCAUAUCAAUAAUCAUUGUCAGUCUUUUUUCUCCUUGCCUGAUCAAUGACAACUCAACAGAUGGAAACAGGGACAGUUCACUUUAUACAGCUCUAAUGUUGCAC
ensembl:lncRNA